rnacentral:rRNA from 1 species
AUACGUAGGUGGCAAGCGUUGUCCGGAUUUACUGGGCGUAAAGGGAGCGUAGGUGGAUAUUUAAGUGGGAUGUGAAAUACUCGGGCUUAACCUGAGUGCUGCAUUCCAAACUGGAUAUCUAGAGUGCAGGAGAGGAAAGUAGAAUUCCUAGUGUAGCGGUGAAAUGCGUAGAGAUUAGGAAGAAUACCAGUGGCGAAGGCGUACUUUCUGGGCUGCAACUGACGCUG